rnacentral:misc_RNA from 1 species
GUAUAGUAGUGCGUGUGCACAACAGUAAUUUCAUUACAUUCGAGUGGGUGUAAAAUCCUCUGCUGGCCGAAGCUAGCAAGAGGCCAAAGGUUCACAGGGGUAUUGGAUGAAAGCCACCAACGUGCACUUGCAAGAGCCAGCACCGAAGGCAACCAUUCGCAAUCAUUAAUGAUCCUUCCGCAGGUUCACCUACGGAAA